AUUGAACGCUGGCGGCAUGCCUUACACAUGCAAGUCGAACGGCAGCACGGAGCUUGCUCUGGUGGCGAGUGGCGAACGGGUGAGUAAUAUAUCGGAACGUACCCUAGAGUGGGGGAUAACGUAGCGAAAGUUACGCUAAUACCGCAUACGAUCUAAGGAUGAAAGUGGGGGAUCGCAAGACCUCAUGCUCGUGGAGCGGCCGAUAUCUGAUUAGCUAGUUGGUAGGGUAAAAGCCUACCAAGGCAUCGAUCAGUAGCUGGUCUGAGAGGACGACCAGCCACACUGGAACUGAGACACGGUCCAGACUCCUACGGGAGGCAGCAGUGGGGAAUUUUGGACAAUGGGCGAAAGCCUGAUCCAGCAAUGCCGCGUGAGUGAAGAAGGCCUUCGGGUUGUAAAGCUCUUUUGUCAGGGAAGAAACGGUGAGAGCUAAUAUCUCUUGCUAAUGACGGUACCUGAAGAAUAAGCACCGGCUAACUACGUGCCAGCAGCCGCGGUAAUACGUAGGGUGCAAGCGUUAAUCGGAAUUACUGGGCGUAAAGCGUGCGCAGGCGGUUUUGUAAGUCUGAUGUGAAAUCCCCGGGCUCAACCUGGGAAUUGCAUUGGAGACUGCAAGGCUAGAAUCUGGCAGAGGGGGGUAGAAUUCCACGUGUAGCAGUGAAAUGCGUAGAUAUGUGGAGGAACACCGAUGGCGAAGGCAGCCCCCUGGGUCAAGAUUGACGCUCAUGCACGAAAGCGUGGGGAGCAAACGGGAUUAGAUACCCUGGUAGUCCACGCCCUAAACGAUGUCUACUAGUUGUCGGGUCUUAAUUGACUUGGUAACGCAGCUAACGCGUGAAGUAGACCGCCUGGGGAGUACGGUCGCAAGAUUAAAACUCAAAGGAAUUGACGGGGACCCGCACAAGCGGUGGAUGAUGUGGAUUAAUUCGAUGCAACGCGAAAAACCUUACCUACCCUUGACAUGGCUGGAAUCCCCGAGAGAUUGGGGAGUGCUCGAAAGAGAACCAGUACACAGGUGCUGCAUGGCUGUCGUCAGCUCGUGUCGUGAGAUGUUGGGUUAAGUCCCGCAACGAGCGCAACCCUUGUCAUUAGUUGCUACGAAAGGGCACUCUAAUGAGACUGCCGGUGACAAACCGGAGGAAGGUGGGGAUGACGUCAAGUCCUCAUGGCCCUUAUGGGUAGGGCUUCACACGUCAUACAAUGGUACAUACAGAGCGCCGCCAACCCGCGAGGGGGAGCUAAUCGCAGAAAGUGUAUCGUAGUCCGGAUUGUAGUCUGCAACUCGACUGCAUGAAGUUGGAAUCGCUAGUAAUCGCGGAUCAGCAUGUCGCGGUGAAUACGUUCCCGGGUCU
rnacentral:rRNA from 1 species